UACGUAGGGCGCAAGCGUUAUCCGGAAUUAUUGGGCGUAAAGAGCUCGUAGGCGGUUUGUCGCGUCUGCCGUGAAAGUCCGGGGCUCAACCGUCCGAUCUGCGGUGGGUACGGGCAGACUAGAGUGAUGUAGGGGAGACUGGAAUUCCUGGUGUAGCGGUGAAAUGCGCAGGUAUCAGGAGGAACACCGAUGGCGAAGGCAGGUCUCUGGGCAUUAACUGACGCUGAGGAGCGAAAGCAUGGGGAGCGAACAGG
rnacentral:rRNA from 1 species